rnacentral:misc_RNA from 1 species
GAUGAAGAACGUAGCGAAAUGCGAUAAGUAAUGUGAAUUGCAGAAUUCAGUGAAUCAUCGAAUGUUUGAACGCACAUUGCGCCCCUUGGUAUUCCGAGGGGCAUGCCUGUUCGAGCGUCAUUAUAACCCUCAAGCUCAGCUUGGUGUUGGGGCCUGCUGCACUGGCAGCCCUUAAAAUCAGUGGCGGCGCCAUCUGGCUCUAAGCGUAGUAAUUCUUCUCGCUAUGGAGUCCUGGUGGAUGCUUGCCAUCAACCCCCAAUUUUUCUAUGGUUGACCUCGGAUCAGGUAGGGAUACCCGCUGAACUUAAGCAUAUCAAUAAGCGGAGGA